rnacentral:rRNA from 1 species
UACGGAGGAUCCAAGCGUUAUCCGGAAUCAUUGGGUUUAAAGGGUCCGUAGGCGGUUUGGUAAGUCAGUGGUGAAAGCCCAUCGCUCAACGGUGGAACGGCCAUUGAUACUGCCAGACUUGAAUUAUUAGGAAGUAACUAGAAUAUGUAGUGUAGCGGUGAAAUGCUUAGAGAUUGCAUGGAAUACCAAUUGCGAAGGCAGGUUACUACUAAUGGAUUGACGCUGAUGGACGAAAGCGUGGGUAGCGAACAGG